GCAAUACGUCAGGAUUAGUUGCGGCGGAAGUUUGCAAGAAAUCCUCAUCACCACUGUAGCGAGUUUGUGCUGCUGCAUUUUUCCUGUUUUUGAUGUCGGGCUACUUGAUGACUGUUGAGGUAGAUACUGUGACGUGAAACCAUGAGGCUGCUGCUCCGAGACGGGAGGGUGACCUCAGCCUCGUUAUCCUCGUCCACGCAAUUCUGCUGGGAUGCGGGUUGUGGAUACGUCUGGGCCUGGGCACCUUUAAAAGAGAAGCCGAGUGGAUGGAGAUACUGAAGCAGCUACAGAAGGAAGUGGGUGAAUUAAGAGAGACAUAUAAAGUACAGCACCAUCUUUCAGAAUCACUUCCUGAUGACAAACAGACAUGAAGUUCAGAAUGAGUCUCUAUACUCUCAUCAGUAACACAGAUGCAGACAAACACCUGUAAACUACUCCAACACUUGCUCUUUUACACUUACUUGUGCUAGUUUGUGUUAUAUAGACUAAAAUUGCUCAAAUUUACAGGGUCGUCCCAGACAAAAGCAUAUUCUGAAGGAUUAAAUGUUACUAUAUCUAAACAUUAGAUACAGACACUCAAACACAGAACAAAAUAAUAAUCUAACUGUCAUAGUUGUUCAGUUUAGUGUUUUCAUGGACUUUCGGUUUGUUGUCAUUUGUCACGUGUCCAAAGUUACUGUCAUUAUUAGUUUAUAUGUCAGCUGUGUUCUAUUAAUUAUCCUCAUUUGUGUUUGCUACUUAAGUUCCUCCUGUUCACUCUGUCUUUGUCCGAUAACUGUUAUGUAUAGUGUGUGUUGUGCCUGCCUGUUUGCAUGCCUAUUAAGGAAUAUUGUUAU